rnacentral:rRNA from 1 species
CAAACGUGAUGGUUUAGAGGAAGUAAAAGUCGUAACAAGGUUUCCGUAGGUGAACCUGCGGAAGGAUCAUUACCGAGUGAGGGCGCUCCGGCGCCCGCUGACCUCACCAUCCACUGCCAUCGUAACACGUACGAGCGGGCUCGCGACGGCCGUGAGGCCCGAGCGACCCGCCACAGACCAGUCGCCGUGGGCUCGCGAGAGCGGCCCACCCCCCGACGCAGUGAGCCCACCGCCGGGCGUUCCGGCGGUGGGAGUGAGUUGUGUCGGGGCGAAGUGUCCGGGAACGCCCCGGCGUGACUGCGUGCACACCCCCCUGGCGCGAUGGCGCCUGUGGGGGUUCCUACCAAUCCAGUCGUCAGCAACGUCUGAGUCCUCAAGGGCUAAAUUUUGAAAACAACUUUCAACAGUGGAUCUCUUGGCAUUGGCAUCGAUGAAGAACGCAGCAAACCGCGAUAUGUGGUGUCAUUUGCAACGCUUGUCAUCGAAUCUUUGAACGCACAUUGCGCCCUCCGGUACUCCGUUGGGCACGCCCGUCUCAGCGUCAUUACACCCCUCAAGCUCCCGCUUGGUCUUGGGCGUGGUCCUCCCCCGGACCCGCCUCGAAUCCGCGGGCGGGUCGCAUCAACCCCCCGGCGUUGCAGAGCCUCUCGAGCCUCGCCGUGGCGGCCGUUGCGCCCCAGCCCCAUAACCGCCCCUCGCGGGCAGCGCCUCGCGGCGUACCAAGUUUGACCUGAGAUCGGGCGGGUAUACGCGCCGAACUUAAGCAUAUUACUCAGCGCAGGAAAAGAAAGCAACAGCGAUUGGGUCAGUAGCGGCGAGCGAAGCCCCAAGAGUCCGGUUUUGAAAGCUCCUUCGGGCGCGUUGUA